UUGCAGGUGUAGCCCUGCAGCCCGCUCAUGCUUCCCAGGCUGGAGAACACCAACACACCUUCAGUGUAGCCCUGCAGCCCGCUCAUGCUUCCUAGGCUGGAGAACACCAACACACCUUCAGUGUUGGUGUCAUUUGAAGAUGUGGCUGUGGAUUUUACUCAGGAGGAAUGGCAGAAUAUGGAUGAUACUCAGCGGACCCUGUACAGAGAGGUGAUGCUUGAGACCUAUAACAAUCUGCUGUCUGUGGG